rnacentral:lncRNA from 1 species
UCCGACGGAGCGAUUCAACCGGGGGAACUUCCCUUCCGGAGGGGGAAAUCAUCGUCAUCAUCAUCACCAACAACUCUCCCAUCUUGGGGAGAGCUAUAUUCAUCAACAUCUUCAACAACACCAACUCCUCUCAAACCCUAGUUCAUCUCUUGUGUUCAAUCUUUGUACUGGAACUAUAGAUUGGUGCUUGUGGGUGACUAGUAGUGUUGAUUACAUCUUGUAGUUGAUCACUAUAUGGUUUAUUUGGUGGAAGAUUAUAUGUUCAGAUCCAUUAUGCUAUUUAAUACCCCUCUGAUCUUGAGCAUGAUUAUCAUUUGUGAGUAGUUACUUUUGUUCUUGAGGUCACGGGAGAAAUCAUGUUGCAAGUAAUCAUGUGAACUUGAUAUGUGUUCGAUAUUUUGAUGAUAUGUAUGUUGUGAUUC